rnacentral:misc_RNA from 1 species
GCAAUCACCAAAAUGGCAUAAGCAAUGCAUAUAAUAUUAGCAUAACAUUAGGGCUUUCAUAUAUAUUUCCCAUUACAUGUAGACUUCCAUGGCAACAUACUUAGACUGACACAAGGGACAAAAACUAAGCUUACUUGCACAAUCUUUACAUAGGCAGAGAUGCUUACAAGGUAUCAGAAGCAUGCAGACCUCAUUGACUCUGCAAACCUUACAAGUCAUCAAUUCUUUCAUGUCAUUGUUCUCCUUAGAAAGCAGAUGAAAAUCAAUGGCACGGCCAUUACAGCAUGAAGCCGUAUCAUCCACCUCACUGUCACCACACCCUUCUUUACUAUCUCUACUUUGAGCAUAGACUUGUUGAAGAUUAAACUUGAGGGCAUUUAUCACAUUUUCAUUAUAUCUAGCACGUUGCUGCCAAGCACCUGCUUCCACAGAUAAUUGUUCCAUUCGUUCCUCAAGUUCCAUAUUCCUCUUGUUAAUGCUCUCUACCUCUGCUUCUUUUUCACGAAGCUUUUGAAGAACUUUUUCUUCCACAAGUGAGAUAGUUUGAAGUUGGUUAGCCCGAACCUUCUCUAGGAUAGUUUGCCGCAAUCGGUCACCCUGAACUUUGAGGAAUCUAUCAAUUUCUGCAUCUUGUCGCUGAAAUUCCCCGUCAAUAUCAUCACCAAUUAGUGAAAUCAAAGUGGAGUCACCAGAAGAUGAAACACGGGUAUUGUCAAGCGAUAAGCCUAACCCAGUUGAAACCGAUCGUGCUUGCAAGAAAUCAACCGAUGAAAUUUGUGAAUUAUUCUCCAAAAAAUCUUGCUCCUUCAACUUCUUUCUCUUGGGUUCCAGCCCAUAAUUCCAUUGCAAAUCAACUCCCCCAUCACUGCCAUCAGCCACGGGAACGGGACCCGGUGCAAACCCCACUACAUGAACUAGAAGAAAACAAACAAACAAAGAAGAGUACCAAUAAUUUUUUUUUUAAAUGGUUUAAGAUAAUGCCAAAGAUAGCCAAACGUAAGGGUUAAUUCAAAAGCAGAAAUUUGAGCUUGGUUUAGCCUAGAAAUAAGUCAUAAAAACCCAGCAAAGAAUCCUCUAUUAAACAGGUUAUGGGUUCCAACCUAGGAAAUGUAAAGAGAGUAAGAGGAAAAAUAAAAACUUACAAGGAGAUGGUAUGUAGGGAGGAUGCUGAGAGUGAUCUUGCAAAUUAGCUGGGCUGUAAUAGGCGACGGGAGGCGAAAUCUGGCCGUCGAUUGAGUACAAAUUUCUCAAGUUCUUAGAUUGUUGCUGGUGUUGUUGUUGUUGAGGUUGGUAGUGUUGUUGAAAUUGGUUUUGAGGUUGAGCCAUGGAGAAACUCACACGACACAAGGGGGAGAGAGAGAGAGAGAG